GACGAACGCUGGCGGCGUGCUUAACACAUGCAAGUCGAACGGAAAGGCCCUGCUUUUGUGGGGUGCUCGAGUGGCGAACGGGUGAGUAACACGUGAGUAACCUGCCCUUGACUUUGGGAUAACUUCAGGAAACUGGGGCUAAUACCGGAUAGGAGCUCCUGCUGCAUGGUGGGGGUUGGAAAGUUUCGGCGGUUGGGGAUGGACUCGCGGCUUAUCAGCUUGUUGGUGGGGUAGUGGCUUACCAAGGCUUUGACGGGUAGCCGGCCUGAGAGGGUGACCGGCCACAUUGGGACUGAGAUACGGCCCAGACACCUACGGGAGGCAGCAGUGGAGAAUAUUGCACAAUGGGCGGAAGCCUGAUGCGGCAACGCCGCGUGCGGGAUGACGGCCUUCGGGUUGUAAACCGCUUUCGCCUGUGACGAAGCGUGAGUGACGGUAAUGGGUAAAGAAGCACCGGCUAACUACGUG
rnacentral:rRNA from 1 species